UACGUAGGGACCGAGCGUUGUCCGGAAUCAUUGGGCGUAAAGAGCGUGUAGGCGGCUAUUUAAGUCCUGCGUGAAAUCCUGCGGCUCAACCGCAGACGGUCGUGGGAAACUGGAUGGCUAGAGUGCGGGAGAGGAGAGUGGAAUUCCUGGUGUAGCGGUGAAAUGCGCAGAUAUCAGGAGGAACACCGGUGGCGAAGGCGGUUCUCUGGGCCUUACCUGACGCUGAGGAGCGAAAGCGUGGGGGAGCGAACAGG
rnacentral:rRNA from 1 species